rnacentral:rRNA from 1 species
AUUGAACGCUGGCGGCAGGCCUAACACAUGCAAGUCGAACGAGUGGCGGACGGGUGAGUAAUGUCUGGGAAACUGCCUGAUGGAGGGGGAUAACUACUGGAAACGGUAGCUAAUACCGCAUACCAUCAGAUGUGCCCAGAUGGGAUUAGCUAGGUGGUGGGGUAACGGCUCACCAAGGCGACGAUCCCUAGCUGGUCUGAGAGGAUGACCAGCCGCACGGGAACGGAGACACGGUCCAGACUCCUACGGGAGGGAGCAGUGGGGAAUAUUGCACAAUGGGCGCAAGCCUGAUGCAGCCAUGCCGCGUGUAUGAAGAAGGCCUUCGGGUUGUAAAGUACUUUCAGCGGGGAGGCGGUACCCGCAGAAGAAGAACCGGCUAACUCCGUGCCAGCAGCCGCGGUAAUAC